UUGUGGAGGAGGACGCCGAAGGUGGGGCUAAUGACUGGGGUGAAGUCGUAACAAGGUAGCCGUACCGGAAAGUGCGGCUGGAUCACCUCCUAACAGGGAGACAACAAAAUGUUUAAUAUUAUUAUUUUGUCACCUUAGGUCGAUCGGUAUCUCACGUUCUUAAUUUGUUAAGAAUUUCAUUUCCUAAGUUUUUCUAGGUCACACCCAUUAUGUUUCCUGGGCCAUUAGCUCAGGUGGUUAGAGCGCACCCCUGAUAAGGGUGAGGUCCCUGGUUCAAGUCCAGGAUGGCCCAUAUCUCUAUGUUGGGGGUAUAGCUCAGUUGGUAGAGCGCCUGCUUUGCAAGCAGGAUGUCAGCGGUUCGAGCCCGCUUACCUCCACUGAUUACCACCUCUUCCAUAACAGGUAGAAAGGAAGUGUUUUGAGUUGUGAUCAUUAUUCUGAACGAAUCUAGCUUCCUAAUGAAAUCAUUAAGAUGCUGGACUCAUUGAAUUAAUUUCAUUGUUUUCAGAGAACCUUGACAACUGCAUAGAUUAUUUUUAAAGACAAUAAGCAUCUUUAAUGAUGCAGAUUUAUUAUUUGUGCGAAUGCAUUAAUAACAAUUCUAUUAAGCUGAUGCUUCAAUUUUGAAGUUAUUGGUCAAGCUACAA
rnacentral:misc_RNA from 1 species